CCUACGGGAGGCUGCAGUGAGGAAUAUUGGUCAAUGGGCGAGAGCCUGAACCAGCCAAGUCGCGUGAGUGAUUAAGGCCCUAUGGGUCGUAAACCUCUUUUGUCAGGGCGCAAGUUCGUCUACGUUCUGGCGUAUGGACAGUACCUGAAGUGAAAGCAGCGGCAAACUCAGUGCAAGAGGCCGCGGUAAUACGGGGGAUGAGAGGGUUAUCCGGAGUUGUUGGGUUAAAGGGGUGCGUGGGGGGUACCUAAAGUAAGCGGUAAAGUUGAGGUGCUAACUGCUGUAGAGCCGUUGAAACUAGGAGACUUGAGUGACAGAGAGGUAUGCGGAAUACGCGGUGUAGCGGUGAAAUGCGUAGAUAUCGGGCAGAACACCGAUGGCGAAGGCAACAAACCGGCGCUACACUGACGCUGAGGCACGAAAGUACGGGUAUCGAACAGGAUUAGAUACCCGUGUAGUC
rnacentral:rRNA from 1 species